GCAGCGGGUCAGACGAUCGCCGGUGAGUGCCGCGAGGCAACACGGGAGGAAAGUCCGAACUCCAAAGGGCAGGGUGCCGGGUAACUCCCGGUGAAGGUGACUUCGAGGAAAGUGCCACAGAAAACAGACCGCCGGGCCGACCCCUUGAGGGCGCCCGGCAAGGGUGAAAAGGUGGAGUAAGAGCCCACCGCGCACUCGGCAACGAGGGCGGCAUGGCAAACCCCACCCGGAGCAAGGCCAAGCAGGAAGCGAAGCGCCCGCAGCAAUGCGAGCGUGGCAGGGCGGCCCGCCCAAAGCUUUCGGGUUGGCUGCCGGAGGCGCUCAGCAAUGGGCGUCCUAGAGGAAUGAUCGUCGCUGGUGAAUGGGUGACCUUCACCACCACAGAAUUCGGCUUAUGACCCCUGCGGCC
rnacentral:RNase_P_RNA from 1 species